UACGAAGGGGGCUAGCGUUGCUCGGAAUCACUGGGCGUAAAGCGCACGUGGGCGGAUUGUUAAGUCGGGGGUGAAAUCCUGGAGCUCAACUCCAGAACUGCCUUUGAUACUGGGGAUCUCGAGUCCGGAAGAGGUGAGUGGAACUCCGAGUGUAGAGGUGAAAUUCGUAGAUAUUCGGAAGAACACCAGUGGCGAAGGCGGCUCACUGGUCCGGUACUGACGCUGAGGUGCGAAAGCGUGGGGAGCAAACAGG
rnacentral:rRNA from 1 species